GUGAGGUGUGCGCUAAGGUCCUGGGAUAUACAAGGGAGAGUAACUUUAUCUAAGAAGGAAUCUAUUCCAGCCCCAGAGGGUUGGUGUGUCCCUGGGUCUGUGUGGAGUUGGUAAAGUGCUGCGUAGUAUUCCGCUAAUGAGUUCACUAUUUCCUGGGGGUUAUAGAGCUUGUCUCCCUGUUUUGAUACAAUAUAGGGAAUCUUGGUUUGAAGAUACUUUUGUUUCAAGCGGCCAGCUAGAAGCUUACCAGCUUUGUUCCCUAGCGUGUAAUGAGUUUGC